rnacentral:rRNA from 1 species
GUAGAUUAAUACUCUGCAAUUUUGACGUUACCGACAGAAUAAGCACCGGCUAACUCUGUGCCAGCAGCCGCGGUAAUACAGAGGGUGCAAGCGUUAAUCGGAAUUACUGGGCGUAAAGCGCGCGUAGGUGGUUUGUUAAGUUGGAUGUGAAAUCCCCGGGCUCAACCUGGGAACUGCAUUCAAAACUGACUGACUAGAGUAUGGUAGAGGGUGGUGGAAUUUCCUGUGUAGCGGUGAAAUGCGUAGAUAUAGGAAGGAACACCAGUGGCGAAGGCGACCACCUGGACUAAUACUGACACUGAGGUGCGAAAGCGUGGGGAGCAAACAGGAUUAGAUACCCCGGUAGUCA